UUUCUCAGAAUGUUAUUGUUUUUGAAUAAGCUAUGUGCUGUUUAAUGACUUUUUCUCCCCUUUUAGAGGUAUUGGUUAUAACAUAACCGUUUAAAAGAAUUUUAAAAGCAUUCAAAUGCCAAAGUAUUGGAUCAUCCUAAAAUAAAUUGAUUUAAAUUAUAGGUCCUAAACAAGAUCAUAUAGCUGCCUGCGAAUUCAUUUUAAAAAUGUAUCUUUCUCAAAAUUAUGUUCCAGAUCGAAGGGUUUAUUCUCAUUUCACAUGUGCAACAGAUACAGAGAACAUUAGGUUUGUGUUUGCUGCAGUGAAAGACAUGAUUCUUCAACAACAUUUGGAAGAAUAUAUUCUUGUAUAGGUGAUAAAGUUAUAUUUUUACAGUCUCUCAACUUUUUAGGAGUCACUGCCUAGCUACCUUUUCGUUAGCUUUCUGAUGGUGAAACUCCUCAUCCUGAAAAAUAUUAACAGUGAAUAUUUUUAAAUAAUAAUAAAAUAAUAAUAAUAAUAAUAAAUUAAAUACGUUUAACGCGAAAAUGUUUAAGAUGAAAUAUUGGUUAAUACGAAAUAAGACCACGGUCCCGACAAGCUGUUAUAUGUUUUCAUGCUUUUUUUUUUUUUUUUUUUUUCUUUUAACACGAAAUGAAAAUUGCUUAACACAAAAAGAUUUCCCUUUUGGGAAUGAACAAACGGAAAGCACCAGUCGCCCGGGUUUGUUUUAAGAGGGGUAUGAAAUGAGGUGGUUUUACAUAUUUCGUAGACAGAAGGCUAACUUGAUGUAUAACACAUAACUUGGCUUUGAAAUACCCUUGGAAUAGCCUGUGACACUAGCCAAUUUAGUUUAAGCUACUUUAACCCUCCAUCCUUAUAAACGCCACACAAAAACAUCUCUGCUUUGAAUUGUGUUUUGUAAAACGUUUUAGUAGUUUAAAAUAUAACUACUAUCAGAUAUUGUGAUACUGUACUAAUAUCGCUGAAGAAAUCUCAGUAUUUUUUAUUAUUAUUCAUUGUGAUAAAAAUAAAUUUUAUUCACUUUUCACCGGA